rnacentral:rRNA from 1 species
CUACGGGGUGCUGCAGUGGGAAUAUUGGACAAUGGGGGAAACCCUGAUCCAGCAACGCCGCGUGGAGGAUGACGCAUUUCGGUGUGUAAACUCCUUUUAUAUGUCAAGAAAAUGACGGUAGCAUAUGAAUAAGCACCGGCUAACUCCGUGCCAGCAGCCGCGGUAAUACGGAGGGUGCAAGCGUUACUCGGAAUCACUGGGCGUAAAGGACGCGUAGGCGGGUUGGAAAGUCAGGUGUGAAAUCCUACAGCUUAACUGUAGAACUGCACUUGAAACUUCUAAUCUAGAGUAUGGGAGGGGGAGAUGGAAUUAGUGGUGUAGGGGUAAAAUCCGUAGAUAUCACUAGGAAUACCCAAAGCGAAGGCGAUCUCCUGGAACAUUACUGACGCUAAGGCGUGAAAGCGUGGGGAGCAAACAGGAUUAGAUACCCGCGUAGUC